rnacentral:rRNA from 1 species
AUGCUGGCAACAGCGAUAAGGGAACCUCGAGUGCCAGGUUACAAAUCUGGCUGUCGAGAUGCCUAAAAAGCAUUUCAUAGCAAGGGCCGGGCAAGACCGGUGCCAGCCGCCGCGGUAACACCGGCGGCUCGAGUGGUAACCGUUAUUAUUGGGUCUAAAGGGUCUGUAGCCGGCCGGAUAAGUCUCUUGAGAAAUCUGGCAGCUUAACUGUCAGGCUUUCAGGAGAUACUGUCUGGCUCGAGGCCGGGAGAGGUGAGAGGUACUUCAGGGGUAGGGGUGAAAUCUUGUAAUCCUUGAAGGACCACCAGUGGCGAAGGCGUCUCACCAGAACGGACCUGACGGCAAGGGACGAAAGCUAGGGGCACGAACCGGAUUAGAUACCCGGGUAGUCCUAGCCGUAAACGAUACUCGCUAGGUGUCGGCCACGGUGCGGCCGUUGUCGGUGCCGUAGGGAAGCCGUGAAGCGAGC